AGUGAUUUUAAUACACACGCGGACAGGAAAUCGGUUAAUUGAUGAGUGAACGUCGAAGAAAAUCAUGAUGGAAUUCAAAAUGAAAUCCCUCUGAUCCGCGACUAGUAGGGUUUUCGUGUUAAAAAAAAAAAUUACCACACGUGGUUGCCGUCGUGGUGUUCUGCCGGUCAACUCCCAACGGACCUAAAAGGUUUUCCGUUGCCUAAGCAGUCUUGUACAUUGGAAAAAAAAAUGUUUUCAACUUUAAGAAUACGCGGUGGAAACUUUUAUACAGUAUAUGUAUUAUAUACAUUAACACUGCACACGGUGCAAAUAACCUUAAACAUCUAGAGAGGGCGCAGUGCGAUGUCCUGCAGAAUUUCAAAAAAAAAUACAAGACGUAACAUUUUUUUUAAAUUUAAAAUCAGAAGGAACAGAUUCAUUUUGGGACUGCCUACAUAUUGUAAUGUGUAUAUAUUAAUGAAUCAAGUGAAACUAUAAACCGAAAAAAAAGUUUUUUUUACAUUAAUGUUAAAUUUUAAGUUCAAUAUUCAUAUUUGUCUUGGCGUUUUAAUUAACGAUGCCGCAGAAUUGAUAA